rnacentral:lncRNA from 1 species
GGGGUACCAAUUAUUUGUAAAUAUAAAUAGACCUUUCUAGAGCUUAUUUUCACCCGUAAAAAUCAUUUCACCAGUUUCUUUCCAUGAAUACCGAGAGAAAACGAGCGGUGUUCUUCGUGUUCUUCAUAAUCAAACGCAGAUUUGGAGGUGUUAUUGGAAUCCGAUGGAGGCGUAUGAAUAGUCAAAACGAAGCUAUCGACGUGUAGAUUAUAGUUUAAUCAUUCGUUUGUGUGCAGAUUCAACAGGUAAAUUACUAUUAAUUGUUGAAAAUUCGAGUUAUAUUGAUUUGAAAUAUGAAUUUUUGCAAACGUGGUUGUUUGAUUGUUUUGAUGAUUCCAUGUUGUAGAACGUGUUUUUCUCGUCGUUUUGGUAUAUUAUAUGUUGAUUUUUGAGUUCCAUAACACCUAUAAAAAGGGGUUUGAUUCUUGGAGUUGUGUUCUUGGAGGUUAUGAAUGUUCUUAAUCGAAUUUGGGCGUUUCUUUGUUAUUGAUUCUGGGUUGUUCUUGGUUAUACCAUUAGAAAGGUCUAGUUACAAGGAGCUUGUAGGUGUCUUCAAAACUAGCAAAGGAGGUCGGAAUCAAACGCCGGAAUCUGGAGAAGACUCGCCGGCGGCGAGAUUUCUCCGAGAUUUUCCGGACAAAUUACGCAUCCUUUGCUAAUUCUGAUGGUAUAGAUCGAUUCCUGGCAGUAAAAUCUUGUGAUCUGGAGGUUUUGGUGCGUGUUGAAGCGCUGUAGCGCCGUUUCCGGCGAAUCAACGGCGGCUGGGGGGUGCCGCUGCGAAAAUUGCAAUUAGGUCCCCCUAGUUGUGAAGAUGAUGAAGGUUUGACACUGGAGUUUGAUUAUUGACAUUCUAGCUCUCGAACUUUUGAAAGUUUACACCUGGCACCCUGCCAGACAAUUUCAGUAUGUUUACAUUUUAAACCUUCUCAAAUUUAUUUCAAAAAAAUUCAUUUUAGUGAUUUAUUUUAAUUUCAAAAAUAGUUUUUAAUUAUUUCUUUAUUCAAAAAUAAAUCUAAUUUGAUUUAUUAAUUAAUUUUAAUUAGUAAUUAAUUAUUUUAAUUGGUCAAUUAAUUUAAAUAUUAAUUGAUUAAUUAAUUUAAUUAAUUGUUAAUUGAUUUUAAUUGAUUAAUUAAUUGGAUUUAAUUAAUCCUUUUUAAUUUAAAAAUUUCGAAAAAUAGUUUCGAGCUUUAAAAUAUUUUUCCAAAUUAUUUUCAAGGCUCGAUAAUUGUUUAUGAAUGAUUUCAAGUCCAAUUUCAAGUAUUUGGGACUUGAUUAUUUAUUCGAAAAGUGAUUCUUUUAUCGAUUUUAAUUCCGAAAAAUGUUUAAAAAUUCUGGAAAAUUCCCGAAAAAUCAUUUUUAACCCAAGACUUGAUUUAAUAUCAAUUGGGAUGGGAAACCUUAUGUGUUGUGUGUUGUCUGCUAUGGGUUGGAUGUGUUAUGUGCCGAUAUAAGAGUGAGAAAACGGUUUUAAACAUAUCUUUUGAUCCGUAAGUCGGAAUCAAGUGAAACGAAAGAGAGAUAGAAGCUCGUGAAGCCUAUUUCAAUAUGACAUGAUAAUAUGGUGGAGUCAAGAAUGUGAUGAGGUGUUGUUAAAUAUGUAGAAUGUGAUAAUAUGUGAUCUAAUUGUUAUUAAGUGAUGAUUACGUGAUAUACGUGUUUAUUCAUGAUAUUAUACACAUGUGAUAAACGAUUUGAGUGACAUAGUAUCAUGAUUCGUAUGAUUGAUAUUGAAUAAGAACAUGUGGAUUAUAGGAAUUGGAAUUGGUUGAUUAGUUGUCAGGUGGAUAGUCUUAUACAUAGACGAGACGAUGUCGGAUUUUCGAUAAGGAUUUAUAUGAUAAUUGAUUGGUGAUAUGUUAUGUGGAAUAUGAUUGACUAUAUGUUAGAGUCAAAGCAUGCUUAUGUGUUACGUGGUAUCUGAUAAGUUUAAAGGGAUAUAUAAGUGGGUAUUGAUAUACGUGAGAUGUAUAUGCGAUCGAUUGUUUAGUGAUUAUAGUGUUAUCUUAUUCUCGUAAAGGAUUUGGACGAGACGUGUAUGCCCGAAGACGUUCAGAAAGUCACGUGGUGUUACAAAGCGAAUAAGGGAUGAAUCGAGUAAGCGAAGCGAAGAUGUACGGUAGAUAGAGUAUAGCCAGAGAUGGUCUAGAGACUAUGAGAUGCAUAGAUUGUGAAAGUGGAAAGAUGAGAUUGAGAUGUGAGACUGGAGUCAGAUUUAAGGCAAGUAUCCUGCACCCUGCUUUUGGAUAUAUUGCAAAUAUUCUGAUUCAUUCUUUUGAUGUGUUGCAAGUAUCCUAAACCUUUCUCUUGGAUAUAUUGCAAAUAUUCUGAUUCAUUCCUUUGGUAUAUGUUUCAAGUAUUCAUACCUUUCUUUUCAAUGUUCGAAAGUGCGAGUAUUCUGACCCAUUCUUUCUAAUCUUCAAGUUUCUAAAGAAUUUCCGUUUUACAAAUUAAUUCGAAGUUCAGAUUGUCAUUGAAGCAUGUGUUGCUCAGUGAUAGUUAGAGCUUUGAAUGAAUUGGGAUCUUCUUGAUUAUUCAACCCGCCAUUGUCAUGCUGGUUUAGCAGGCUAAAUUCAGUUGCUUAGCCGAUAAUGGAGGAUACUGAAUAGUUGAGGAUUUCCUGAACUGUGAUUUAUGAAAUGAUGGAUCAUAAUUUAUGAAUAGAUUAUUAUCAAAGUUUGAUUUGGAAUUAUUCUGUUGUUGAUGAUAUUUAUGAUGAUGUUCUGUUGAUUUACACUGACCUGUUAAACUGAAUUAGAGAAUUGGAUUAUUGUUUUUAUAUAAACCUGUGGACCAGAUUCGUGGUCAUGUUAGGCCAAUGAGUGCCUUGGAUCCAGUGAUAGAGCAUGGCGGGGCCUGCUCGGGGUUAGGUAUGACUGAUCAGCAUCCUAACCUUGGUUUUUAAUUAAAAUGUGAUAGUCCAAUUCAAUAAUUCUCUUGUGAAGGAUUGAAUUCCUCAGGUUUCUAUUGCUGCAAGGUAUUGUGAUUCUUUUAUACAAUACCUGAAUUUGUGAACUCAGGUUGAAUCUUUUUAUAUCUUGAACUCGAGAAUUUCUGUUAUAUCAUUUCAGAACUUUCAUUGUUUAUUACUACUUGCUGAGCAUUGUUGCUCACUCUUGCUAUUCUCUUUUAACCAUUUCAGAAAGGAUUAAAGAUGAAUGGCUAGUCUAUGAUUGCGAGUAAAGUUAAGGCUAGGCGGAGGAGUCGAGAGGUGUUAAGGAUCCAGUGGUCGAGAAGUGUCCAGGAAGAUUGAUAAGGUUGAUGCUAGCUCGAGUUGUGCUAUUGAGAUUCAGAUGUAAGUCAUAGCUGGAAUAGUUGACAGUGAUUCUUCUUAUCGAAGAUGAUCUGAUUUGGUAAGAGAUGUUGGGUAAUAAUAGUGGUUGAUUCUAAUUUCAAUACUGUAACCUGGAAGCGAUCCUGUUGUUUUGGGGGUGAAGAUGUUCUCUUUCAAAUCUUUCAUUUAACGUCUUUCAGAUCUUUUAUUAUGGCUUUCAAGUUUGAAUUU